UACAUUGCAUGGUUGCAAUGUUUAUUAUACCAUAGAAUGGGAUUUUGGUGUAAGGGAACCACCACAUCCAGCAUACUGAACAUGGGAGAUACUGGGAAAGUCUUCUUUUUUGCAGGGAGCUUCCAUUGUACAGGUGCAAUGUUUAUUUUCCGCUCUGCUGUGAAUCUGGUAGAAGGGAACCACCACAACCAGCAUAAUGAGUGUGGGAGACACUAGCUAGCCUUCUUUCUUUUGGGCAGGCAGCUGCAUCUGACUCAGCCAGAGACAGUGCCUGAAACCGGUUUGUCAGACGCAUCGGGGAGGCCUUCUGAUCAGCCUCCGGGGACGUCUUUCGCUGCCUGCCA